CAAUAAGCGGAGGAAAAGA
rnacentral:snRNA from 1 species